AAAAUAAAAGCAGUCCUGGAUUUACAAAAAGUUCAUUUCCAGAAGUUCACUUCCAAGUCAUUUAAACACAUAAUGCAUUACUCCAAAGGAAGGGAAAAGGUACAACUAAUGAUUGCUUCUUUAGGUUAGCCCUCAAAAAAUGUUAUUUAACUACAAAUUGUUUUUUCAGACAGUCUUGCUCUGUCGCCAGGCUGCAGUGCAGUGGCAUGAUCUUAACUAUAAAAUUACUGAAAUAUUUAAAAUAACAUUUUUUAAAACAAAUCUUCUGACAUUAAACAUGUUCAUGUUAAAAGAGAAAACAUAAUAAUAUGAAAGAACAUAAAAUGUUAAAUGUUUUUAGAAUAUCCUGAGAAAACAGAUUUAGUGCCAUCCUAAAGAAAUUAGAGUCUAAAGCCAGGGUUCACAUUCGCCAUUUGUCAGCUGUGUUACCCUAGGCAAGUUACUGAAUGUCUCUGUGCUUCAUUUUCCUGAAAUAGAAUAAAAUAAAAAAAAUAAUAGAACGUUUCUCAUCAUAUCUGAAAAGAUUUAAUGCUUUAAUAGAUGUAAAACACUUAGCACAGUUCUUUGUUCACGGUAGGUUCAAAAUACUGUUUUAAUGUUAUUAUUCUGUACAAAUUUCUGUUUAAUAUAAGUGGCAAUUAAAGAUUGAUGCUGCAAGAGUGUAAAAUACAAUAAAAACUAACAUUUUACCUUCCAAUCCAGUUCUAAAAGAGCUUUCUUAGAGAAAUGUACAAAUGAAAACAUAUGCAUUAAUCACCCUGUUAUUUAGCAAUUUUGUGCAAUCUUGUAAACCUGCAAUAUAGAAUAAAAAAAAACUUUAAGACAUUCAGAUUUUGGAAGUAUAUAUUGUAUUCCACUGCAUUUAAAAGCAGACUUUUAAAUAUGCAGCACCUCAUGUCAGGGUCAAAAUCGUUCUGAUUGUGUAUGGGAAUAUGUUUUAUCUUAAAUAUGUCUAGAACUUUAAGAACUUAAGGAAGCUUCAGCAACAUUAUAAAAAGAUCAUAUCCAAGGCAAGUUGAAAAUUGGUAAGGCAAGUCUGUUUAUAGAAGCUCUACCAAACAACCACUAAAAUUACAAUCUCUUCAGACUAAAAACAGUCUUUACAUUUGUUGUCCAAAAAGAAAGACAGACAGCUAACUUUAAGGAUAUUUUCAUUUUUAAAGGUUGUAUCCACUAAAAUGUGUUUGUUUUUCAAAUUAAAAUAGAAACAGGAAAAAGAAAAAGAGGCAGUUCCUUGCACCCUGAAUGUUAGCCAAAGUAGUGACAAUUACAGGACCACACUGAGAGAGUCCCUUCUUUUUGUUUCUCCAAAUGCUCACCAGGAAAGAGAAAACAUUCACGGGCCUCCUCCUCUAGUACCGACUGACUCCCUGCUGUCUUUUCUAAAGCCAGAUGGUGGCGCUGUGGUAUCAUUUGUUGAGAGUUUAGCUUUAAAUUCUGUUUUCUGUCAGUAAUAGCGUUGCGUGAAAAGUCUCAGCCCUCUUUAGAAAAAGAAAGUAUUUUAAACAGACUUUAUUCUUCCCUUUAAUGAUAAAUAAGCCCAUCAUUUAAGCCCUU
rnacentral:lncRNA from 1 species